rnacentral:lncRNA from 1 species
UCUGCGGCGCGGAGGGUCAGUGGAAGGAAGGCUGCGGCGCUUUAGGCGCGCCAAUGUCGGGGAUUUGAGGUUGUUUCUAAGUCACAAUGCAAAUAUGUAACCAUACUCAACUCCAAAAGUGCCAGGUUUGGACCCCGACGAUGGAUGGCUUCUUGUUAAACUCACGCCAUGAGAAGCUGUGGAUCGAUUUCAAGAAAACCUAGCUGACGUUGAAGAAAUGAGAACAUGCUGGGAGCAUUUGAGAACAGUGUGACCUCUAAAGGGCAGGCGUGUCUGAACACUUCCAACCCCGCACACGGCUGGCAGAAUGGACACUCUCACCAGGACUUUCCCCUCCAAACAUAGACUGUUUUCUCUAGAAAAGAGGUAGUAUAUCUAUCAUUACAGAGGGCAAUUUGUAUGGUGGUAUUGUGUGUUCUUUUUUUUUUUUUUUUUUUUAGCAAAUACCAAAAUAAAAUUAUGUAAGAAAAUAUACUAGCUUGCAAAUCAAGGUUGCCUAGAAACGUUCUUCACUGACACACUGUGCCUCAGCAUUUUGGGAUAUGGUCAUUGAAAGUAGAAGAGUGUGCACUGUCUUUUACCACAGCUCCUUUGUCUUCAUUCCCUUUCCACGCCCCCAUUCUCUACUAUGAAAUUUAAGGCCCCCCACACAAAAGACAAGUUCAAGUAUGCAGGUAUGAAAAGACGUUAACAUUCUAAAAAUACAUUUUUUUUUGCAGACAGCAAUUAUAAUUGGAGCAAAUCACAGAGUAUUCAAAGUGGAACAAAUAAUUGUCUCAAUUCGUUUCAGACUUUAAAAUUCCUUCCCUUCAAGGAUGAAAUGAUGUAGUGAUUUGUAUAGUAACACAGUUGAGACUCUUUAGGAAAGACCAUGAGUCUAAUUGCUAACUAUUCCAAUCUUCUACCCAGUAGAGCCAUAUAAAGAUGGGAGAGAAUCACAGUUAUUUAUAAAUACUACUAUGUGUUGUUAAGUGUUAGCAUAAACAAGGUAACAGUGUUGAUUAUGAUAUUGUAGUCAUAUUAUAGUCUUGGAAAUAAGCCAAAAGACCAUAAGUAGCAUAUCUUCUUUUUCCAGGAACAUAUUUCCACAUUGUUUGCAUGAGUCUGCAUUAUUAUAUAUCAUAAAAACUCAUAGAAUUCUAACAUGGUCUAUUCUAUAAGUGAAAAUAGCCUCAAAUGAUAUAGAAAUAUUUCUCUUGCUUGUCAUCAUUUGCCAUUUUGAGUAAAAUGAAUUGAAGCAAAGUACUUGUGGAAUAGGCAUUUCCUAGAGGUUCUUGGUAUGCUUGGCAAAAAUAAAACAUUUUAUUUAGUAUACUCAAAGCCUAUGUCGGGAGUCAUGGCUGCACCCCCCGGGCGAUCCUCGGUUCCUAUGGGGCUUAUAAGUGUCCUGGUACGAGUCCGGGUAAUCUUCUUCCACCAGAGGGUAGUGGUCUCGGCUGUGCUGGGAGCUGGAAGACAAGCGGUUCCUACUCUUGCGGGCCCUCUCAUUGUGGUAAUUUUCAUCCGAGGUCAUUAGGCUUCGUCUUUCAAUUGGAGAAUUCUCUGUAGAAUGGUUGCUGUGUCUCAUUCGCUGACUCUAAGAAUAUCAGACAGUUCACUGGUUAGAUAAGGUCAGCUUCAUUUAGCUAAACAUGCUAACGCGUGUGUGUGUGUGUGCAGUAACAGGGUCUAUACAACGAGCUGCUGUCUGACCUAAUAAAGCAUUUUGAUUCA